AGCUGAUGGCACUUUCAGAGGUAAUAAAACAACACAUUUUUCAGGCUUCAUUUCUCUCCAUUAUUUUAUAGUAUUUAAAACUGAAUCGCAGUUGUAAAUAACAGUUGUAAAUAACAUAGCACAAAUUCAAUUGACAUCUGACAAACCAUUCUUUUCUCACUUUGUUGUGCGGGUGAUGAUGAAAAGAGUUGCUUAGGUACAAUCUACCUGCAAUAAUUUGUUGGCCAAGGGACUAUUAUCAUAGUUACCAAGGCUCCAGAUUUAGGAGAAAACUACUGAUUAUAUAGAGCAACUAACAUCUUCUUCGGCUUAUACUAAGAACUGAAGAAAACACUUGGGGUGGUGGCUGAAAGGAGGUUCAAGUCUAGAUGCAUGCAGUAAUUGUUUCUCCUGAGCUUAUUGGUUGAAAUGCGAAUGAAUACUUUCUAGCUCAAUAAUAUGUGUUAAAUAGCAAAAUAUCAUAUAUGUUGUUGAGUUCUUUGUUGUUGUAAGAGGGAACUUUACCUCCGAUUGGUGUUAAUUUACUAUUGUUAUU
rnacentral:misc_RNA from 1 species